UACGAAGGGGGCUAGCGUUGUUCGGCAUUACUGGGCGUACAGCGCGCGCAGGCGGCUAGCCAAGUCAGUGGUGAAAGCCCGGAGCUCAACUCCGGAACUGCCAUUGAAACUGUUUAGCUUGAGGACGAGAGAGGUGAGUGGAAUUCCCAGUGUAGAGGAGAAAUUCGUAGAUAUUGGGAAGAACACCGGUGGCGAAGGCGGCUCACUGGCUCGUAUCUGACGCUCAGGCGCGAUAGCGUGGGGAUCAAACAGG
rnacentral:rRNA from 1 species